rnacentral:tRNA from 2 species
GGAGGAGUGGCCGAGCGGUUGAUGGCACUAGUCUUGAAAACUAGCAUGCCCGAAAGGGCAUCAGGGGUUCAAAUCCUCUCUCCUCCG